rnacentral:rRNA from 1 species
GACGUAGGGCGCGAGCGUUGUCCGGAUUUAUUGGGCGUAAAGAGCUCGUAGGCGGCUUGUUGCGUCAGCUGUGAAAACCCGGAGCUCAACUCCGGGCCUGCAGUCGAUACGGGCAGACUGGAGUUCGGCAGGGGAGACUGGAAUUCCUGGUGUAGCGGUGAAAUGCGCAGAUAUCAGGAGGAACACCGGUGGCGAAGGCGGGUCUCUGGGCCGAUACUGACGCUGAGGAGCGAAAGCGUGGGGAGCGAACAGG